AGAAGGAGCUGCGGCUGCAGCGCAGCAGGUUCUCCAUCUUCCCGCACAGCUCGCAGUACUGCCGGUCUCGCUCGCUCGAGCUCGGCUCGCCGGGCCCGCAGCUGUCAUUGGCCAUGGCGACCGCAGCUGAGCAGGAGGGGUGCGGCCGGACGGCCUCGCCCGAGGCUGGGGAGCGGAGAGAGAGAUAGGGGCCGUCACUGCGCCAUGCACCCGCUACCCUUGACUCAAGGAGGCUGGCACCCAGGGCCCUCGGCCGGGUCGCUUCCGAGUCCUAGGCUCCGGCGCAGCGCAGGCGGCCGCCUCAGCGCCUAAUCGCCGCCGUGGGCUGAGAGAACGCGGCCUGUGCGGCGAACGGCAACCCGGGCUCGGGCGCGCGAGCCUGCGGAGCGCAAGACCGGCCCCCUCGGCUGCCGCCACCGCCUCAGCGUCCCGGGCGGCCCGGCCCAGGCUGCGGAGGAGCGCAGGGUUCUUUCUGCAAGUCUUCCACCAGGGCCACUGCCUCCUCUCCACUCUCCGGAUGCUGCUGUCUGACCCAGAUCUGGAUCUCCUGGAGAAGGACAGUCGGGAACUGUUCUAGGACCAGCAACUCCAGGAUCUGCUCUUUUGUACACUUCUCUGGCCUUAGCCACUGACAACAGAGCUUCUGGAGCUGGAGGAGGGCCUCUCGGGGUCGUGAUGCUUCUUGGUAACGGAAAUGCCAAAAGCUCUGGCAGGAUGUCUCUGGUCCAGGGUAAUUCCCUUGAAGGGAAAUUUCCUGCUCCCAGUGGGAAUCUUCUUCCAGUUUAACUAUUUGGAGAUCUUGUACUGAAGGAGUCUGGAUUUGUUGGUCCACAGCUACAGCCAUUGUUCAGGUCAGAGAAGAGCUUUGCAACCGCACUCUAAAGCUCAAACCUCUUCAUCACCUCACUGGGAAGCCAUCUUAGAACUUCCACUUAGGAGUCACUAAGUGGAACUUCUCUUGAAAUUCUAGAGUCAGAGACAUACAUUACAAAGUUAACUCUAGUAAAAAUCGCAAGUGUUAGCCCAGCAGGCUUGAGGUGAAGAAGAGAGCCUUCCUGUCCCAGCCCUGUUGCAUGCCCUGGUGCCUGUGGAGUCACUGGUGGGGUGGCAGUUCCGGAAGUUUGAUAAGAGGAGUCAAGGGCUAGUGACCUGGUUGAAAAGUAGAGGAGCUUGAAGCUGAGAGAAUACGGACGAUUCGGCCCCGUGACAUGUUCUUAGCGGGGACGCAAGAAGCCCGAGCCCAGGUCCCAAACACGGCUAUUCGGCUAGCCACUGAGCACCGGAAGCGGAAAACCUAGCCCCAGAAGGACUCCGUGUUCUCCGGAACUACAUUUCCCAGAGGCCGCCGCCCGAAGACAGACAGCAGCGUUAGCCCAUAAAAUGGGAGAAUAUCUCAGGCGCCUAUUCGUUUCAGACGAAUCAUUGAUGACUUUUCUACCAGCUGGGCACCUGGACCAAGGAGCUCAGCGGAGUGGUCACUCUCGGGAUGUCUGCAGCCAUCAUCCACAGUCCUGGGGCAAUCACUUAGGCUUCAAGCCUUGGACCUCAGUCUUCUCCAGCCAGGCUCUCAGGCUGGAGUGCAGUGACACGAUCUCGGAUCAAGUGAUUCUCCUGCCUCAGCCUCCCAAGUAGCUGGGAUUACCGGCGUGCGCCACCACACCUGGCUAAUUUUGCGUGUUUUUAGUAGAGACAGAGAUUUCACCAUGUUGAUCAGGCUGGUCUUGAAUUCCUGACCUCAGGUGAUCCAGCCGUCUUGGCCUCCCAAAGUGCUGAGAUUACAGGCAUGAGCCACGUGCCCGGUCCUUUUCCCAUUUUUAAAUUGGAUUUAUUUGUAAGAGCUCUUUGUAUAUUAAGAAAAUUAUCCCUUUGUCACAGCAGUUGCUACUCUUUCUCAGUUUGCUGUUUGUUUUCUGCUGGUUUAUUAAAUAUAGAAAUUUGAAAUUUUUUUGCAGUCAAAUUUGUUAAUCUUAUCUUUUUAUAGCCUGUGAGUUUUGUGUUAGAAAGUCCUCUGCACCACUCCAAAGAUUAUGUGAAAUUCACCUGUUUUUCACUAAUUAACCUCUUGAAUCCAAUUACAGAGAUGCAAAGUGAAGUUCAGCUAGUGAUUCUUAUCCAAUACCCUGGUAGCAUCUUUAUUAUCCCAGACUGACCACAUGCAAAUAGCACCACCUCCAGGCCAGCCUGAGAAGUCUGCACUAAGCCCCUGGAUGCAGAAUUCUGGGCCACCACCCCUCCAAGUGAUUUUUUUUGGGAUGACAUUGUAUUAAAAAAGAUGGGUUUCUCCAUGUGUCCAUCCUUACCAGGAAUGGAAAUUUACACAAAAAGGAAAAGAUGCAGGGGAGGCUGGGGAUGCACAGAUGGAACUUUCCAGCAGCUCAAGCGUUUAUUUACCUCUGUUCCUAACCCAUGUCAACCCUUGACCACAGAACUGGCACUAGCUUGUCACUGGAGAGUCCUAAAGAAGCUGUCUCCUCUGUGUCUGAUUCUGGGAAGCUGGUCCUUGCCAGUGUCAACUAUCCUACAUGAGACAGAGAGAAAGUCACAUUUAAGACCAAUUCAUGGCAUAAUGAUCCUACUGAGAAGGGCCCUGGUAGCCAAGCCAGUACCCUAAGACCAGCCUGCUACAUCGAAGCAAGCCUGGAAACACAGCCAAGUUCAAGGUUGCUCCCCCAAGAGAGUCCUUUCUCCAUUGGCCAAACCACAAGGGUGAGAGAGGCUCUGUUCCACCAGAAAGCAUUCUUGGUUAAAAGCUUAAGAACUAAUCUGGCUAACUUAAGUAAAAGGGACUUACUGAAAGACUGUCAGGGAACUGACAGAGUAGAAGGGAGCUGACGAAUCAGGCUUGAGAACAGUUAGGAGCCAAGAGACAAAGAGGAAGUCCCCAAAAACCACAAUAACAGUCUCUGAGCAGAAAAAGUUCAGCUUGCCUAUCCCAUGACCUCUGGUGGUACUACAGCCAUCUCUGUUUCUCCGCCUUUCUCACACAAAUUCUCCCAUGCAAGGAAAGAGCAUUUGGUUGGUUGAGUCUAAGUCACAUGCACAUUCCCUGGAUGCAGCAGGGUGAGAGAGGAUUGGAUGUGGCUCCUAGAUUUUCUUACUAAUACCCCACACAAAGGCAGAUUCUCCACUCUGGAGACUGAAGGCCUGUUAGGAAACACUGGACAGGCAGAAACAAUAUCACUACUUGUCUUUAGGCUCUGAGCAAGAAGGGACCUCACCCCAAGGAAUGCUCAGCCUAAGGCAUUUGGGGGCCCUUAGCUCAUCUAGAGUUGAUGAAAAAUGAUGUGGGUGGGAAUGGGGAGAACUGCUCCAUAACAGUUCUU
ensembl:lncRNA novel transcript, antisense to ZSCAN2